GUGCCCAGCAGCCCACGAUUAAUACGUAGGGUGCAAGCGUUGUCCGGAUUUAUUGGGCGUAAAGCGAAGCGCAGCGGUUUCUUAAGUCUKGAUGUGAAAGCCCCCGGCUCAACCGGGGAGGGUCAUUGGAAACUGGGAGACUUGAGUGCAGAAGAGGAGAGUGGAAUUCCAUGUGUAGCGGUGAAAUGCGUAGAUAUAUGGAGGAACACCAGUGGCGAAGGCGGCUCUCUGGUCUGUAACUGACGMUGAGGCUCGAAAGCGUGGGGAGCAAACAGGAUUAGAUACCCUGGUAGUCC
rnacentral:rRNA from 1 species